rnacentral:rRNA from 1 species
GAUGAACGCUGGCGGCGUGCCUAAUACAUGCAAGUCGAGCGAACGGACGAGAAGCUUGCUUCUCUGAUGUUAGCGGCGGACGGGUGAGUAACACGUGGAUAACCUACCUAUAAGACUGGGAUAACUUCGGGAAACCGGAGCUAAUACCGGAUAAUAUUUUGAACCGCAUGGUUCAAAAGUGAAAGACGGUCUUGCUGUCACUUAUAGAUGGAUCCGCGCUGCAUUAGCUAGUUGGUAAGGUAACGGCUUACCAAGGCAACGAUGCAUAGCCGACCUGAGAGGGUGAUCGGCCACACUGGAACUGAGACACGGUCCAGACUCCUACGGGAGGCAGCAGUAGGGAAUCUUCCGCAAUGGGCGAAAGCCUGACGGAGCAACGCCGCGUGAGUGAUGAAGGUCUUCGGAUCGUAAAACUCUGUUAUUAGGGAAGAACAUAUGUGUAAGUAACUGUGCACAUCUUGGCGGUACCUAAUCAGAAAGCCACGACUAACUACGUG